rnacentral:rRNA from 1 species
GAUGAACGCUGGCGGCGUGCCUAAUACAUGCAAGUCGAGCGAACAGACGAGGAGCUUGCUCCUCUGACGUUAGCGGCGGACGGGUGAGUAACACGUGGAUAACCUACCUAUAAGACUGGGAUAACUUCGGGAAACCGGAGCUAAUACCGGAUAAUAUAUUGAACCGCAUGGUUCAAUAGUGAAAGACGGUUUUGCUGUCACUUAUAGAUGGAUCCGCGCCGCAUUAGCUAGUUGGUAAGGUAACGGCUUACCAAGGCAACGAUGCGUAGCCGACCUGAGAGGGUGAUCCGCCACACUUGAACUGGGACACGGUCCAGACUCCUACGGGAAGCAGCAGUUGGGAAACUUCCGCAAUGGGCGGAAGCCUGACCGAGCCACCCCGCGGUGGGGAAGAAGGGUUUUGGGUUGGAAAACCUUUGUUUUUGGGAAGAAAAAAAGGUGUAGUAACUAUGCACGUCUUGACGGUACCUAAUCAGAAAGCCACGGCUAACUACGUG